rfam:Cystobacter fuscus DSM 2262 contig1, whole genome shotgun sequence.
UCAAACCCCGCCCGGCAAAGGAGGCCACCAGCCGGAAGCGAGUCUUGCGUGGUGCCGGGGCAACCCGGGCUGCGAAGCGUAGACAGCGAGUAUGUGGGCCGCGUGAUUGAGCCUCGAAAGAUCUGAAUCGUCGCGAGAGCCGACGCCGUACGAGUAGCGGAAGGCAGCAGCCCAGGGCCGAAACAGGCCAGGUCCUGGGGUCUCGCCGGGGUCUGAGAGCG